rnacentral:rRNA from 1 species
UGGUGGAGUGAUUUGUCUGCUUAAUUGCGAUAACGAACGAGACCUUAACCUGCUAAAUAGCCCGAAUCGCUUUGGCGGUACGCUGGCUUCUUAGAGGGACUAUCGGCUCAAGCCGAUGGAAGUUUGAGGCAAUAACA